rnacentral:rRNA from 1 species
GAUGAACGCUGGCGGCGUGCCUAACACAUGCAAGUCGAACGGAGUUUUAAGACGGAAGUUUUCGGAUGGAAGACUUAAAACUUAGUGGCGGACGGGUGAGUAACGCGUGGGUAACCUGCCCUGUACAGGGGGAUAACAGUUGGAAACGACUGCUAAAACCGCAUGACAUAGAGAUACCGCAUGAUAUUUCUAUCAAAUAUUUAUAGGUACAGGAUGGGCCCGCGUCUGAUUAGCCAGUUGGCAGGGUAAAAGCCUACCAAAGCGACGAUCAGUAGCCGGCUUGAGAGAGUGACCGGCCACAUUGGGACUGAGACACGGCCCAA